rnacentral:rRNA from 1 species
UAGGGAAUCUUCAGCAAUGGGGGCAACCCUGACCGAGCAACGCCGCGUGAGUGAAGAAGGUUUUCGGAUCGUAAAGCUCUGUUGUAAGAGAAGAACGUGUGUGAGAGUGGAAAGUUCACACAGUGACGGUAACUUACCAGAAAGGGACGGCUAACUACGUGCCAGCAGCCGCGGUAAUACGUAGGUCCCGAGCGUUGUCCGGAUUUAUUGUGCGUAAAGCGAGCGCAGGCGGUUUAAUAAGUCUGAAGUUAAAGGCAGUGGCUUAACCAUUGUUCGCUUUGGAAACUGUUAAACUUGAGUGCAGAAGGGGAGAGUGGAAUUCCAUGUGUAGCGGUGAAAUGCGUAGAUAUAUGGAGGAACACCGGUGGCGAAAGCGGCUCUCUGGUCUGUAACUGACGCUGAGGCUCGAAAGCGUGGGGAGCAAACAGG